ACGACAGUUUUCCGGCCUAGUUUGCGGCUGCUCCUGCCGUGUUGCGUAGGGCGCCUGUGCUUGAGGUUGGGGGUUGCGUCGCUCUCUGGUAAAGGCGUGCAGGUGUUGGCCGCGGCCUCUGAGCUGGGAUGAGCCGUGCUCCCGGUGGAAGCAAGGGAGCCCAGCCGGAGCCAUGGCCAGUACAGUGGUAGCAGUUGGACUGACCAUUGCUGCUGCAGGAUUUGCAGGUUUGUUUAUGGUUUGGGGGUGGAAGUGAAGUCGGGGAGAUUGGAGAUUUAGUUUACUUAUUCUGUUGCUUUUGGUUUUAGGCCGUUACGUUUUGCAAGCCAUGAAGCAUAUGGAGCCUCAAGUAAAACAAGUUUUUCAAAGCCUACCAAAAUCUGUAAGACUUUGUUAAUUCUUUGCUGCUUCUAUUUGAAACCUAGAGCCACACUUAGGGAAGGGUAAAUUUCCAAAUAUCCAUGAAGUUCUAAGUGAUUGCUUUGGACCCAUUCUCCUGCUUCCUGCAAGGAGAGUAUAGAAGUUCUGAACUUUGUGAUGGUGCUACCCUGAAACAUCAGAUGUUAUAUGUGACAGAGUUGGAUAGGGUUUUGACAAUUCUAGUACCCCACUAGACCCAAGUUUCACUUUUUCACAUACCAUCACCUUCAGCAUCAUCUGUACAUAUUCUUGUUUUCCUUCAUCUGCUCUGCAUCGCACACGCAGAGGUAUAUGAUUCUAAAGUGAUCCGAUCUUACCAUGUGGCCCUGGCACUCCCAAACAUCAUACAUAGGUAGCACUCUAGUUAAUUAGGCUAUAGGGUUUGGCUUGAUGUUAUGG
rnacentral:sRNA from 1 species